GAUGAACGCUGGCGGUAUGCUUAACACAUGCAAGUCGAACGGACUCUUCGGAGUUAGUGGCGGACGGGUGAGUAACGCGUGAGAAUCUGGCUUCUGGUUCGGGAUAACAGUGGGAAACGACUGCUAAUACCGGAUGUGCCUGCGGGUAAAAGGCUUGCUGCCAAAAGAUGAGCUCGCGUCUGGUUAGCUAGUUGGUGGGGUAAGAGCCUACCAAGGCGACGAUCAGUAGCUGGUCUGAGAGGAUGAUCAGCCACACUGGGACUGAGACACGGCCCACACUCCUACGGGAGGCAGCAGUGGGGAAUUUUCCGCAAUGGGCGAAAGCCUGACGGAGCAAUACCGCGUGAGGGAAGAAGGCUCUUGGGUUGUAAACCUCUUUUCUCAGGGAAUAAGAAAGUGAAGGUACCUGAGGAAUCAGCAUCGGCUAACUCCGUGCCAGCAGCCGCGGUAAUACGGAGGAUGCAAGCGUUAUCCGGAAUGAUUGGGCGUAAAGCGUCCGCAGGUGGUUAUUCAAGUCUGCCGUUAAAGAGUCUGGCUUAACCAGAUAAAGGCGGUGGAAACUGAAAGACUAGGGUGCGGUAGGGGCAGAGGGAAUUCCCAGUGUAGCGGUGAAGUGCGUAGAGAUUGG
rnacentral:rRNA from 1 species